rnacentral:rRNA from 1 species
UAACUCUUAACGAUGGACACCUUGGCUCCCACAUCGAGGAAGAGCGCAGCAAACUGCGAUAAGUCGUGUGAAUUGCAGGGUUCAGCGAAUCACGAAAUCCUCGAACGCACCUUGCGCUCCCGGGAUCUCUCCCGGGAGCACGCCUGUUUGAGCGUCGU